rnacentral:rRNA from 1 species
UAUGGCCCCCAAUCAAGCAAGAUUACCCGCCGAACUUAAGCAUAUCAAUAAGCGGAGGA